AAAAAAAAAAAAGAGUGAAAUAGUGGAUGGUCUAACUUAAUUGUAGACUGAACCGGCUGAUACAUAUGUUCUCGUCUGCCUGUACAAAAGGCACAAAGCCACGGAGAAUUCCACAUUUUGGACACUGUCCCUCUAACUCUGAAGGCCACGUGCUCAGCCUGGGCACUGUUGGCUGUGGAGCUGUUGUAUGCUCUGCAAGGUAUUUCAGCAGCAUCUACCCCACUCCCAAGUCCUGAUGAUCAAAACGUCUCCAGAUUUUGCCAGGUGUCCCCAGGGAAAAACUGUCCUCAUCUGAGAACCAAUGGGAUAGACUUAAAAAUGUGAGGGGUGGGCAGCGCCUUCCACUGCCCUGACAGGUUUGAGAUUUGCCCCUCCCUCGUUGGGUCAGCGCCAGGGCAUGGGCAGAAGGACCUGUCAGGGUUGACUCCUGCCAACUAGACUCAUUACAACCAGCUCCUUCAGGAGUUACUGGAAGAACUUGAGGCUAGGAUUCCCAUUCCUCCCUGCCUGACUGCCUAGCUGGGUACCCAGCAUGUGAUUACUCACUGCUGAGGGGUGAAUGAACAUUAGUGACAGCUCCUUGCAUCUGUCACGGCUCAGGUGACCUGGUCAGUGUCCUGCAGCCUUGCUGGACACAGGCACUCCAGUUCUCAUUUUUAGACUCCUCGUUGACUAAAACCUAUUACCCUGGUCACCCCCAACCCUGAUUUCUUAAUUCAGCAGGCUAGGCACUGGAUUUUCCCUUCAGUCCCCAUGGGGCUGAGUUCCCUUGUGGGGCUGGCUGGUGAGCCGCUCCCUACAGUGGGGUGAGUGUGAGAUUGUUUGGCACCUAGCCAGGCCCCGCCCCCGGUGAGCCCCAAGUGUGACCGUUUGACCUUCUGAUGCAGAGUAAGCCGCAGGCUCAGAUGGUGGCUUCUAGAAAGGCAGAGGCUGUCAGCUCACCUUUGACUGCCUUCCAUCUCCUGACCUGGAUGUUGGCUAGGAGUGGGGUCUGUCUUACCUUUGGGUAUGGAGCCUUUUACUCAUGACUACUGGGAUAUAAUCUAUGUCUUGAUCUCUUUUAGGGCCAGUAUGGAAAUUACCAGCAGUAAGGGACAAGCAUCCUCAGUGGAGCCCAGUGGUCGCAUGCUCAUCCAGAGGACGGAUGGGCUGGUGGCAGUUCUGAUGAAUUGUGACAUGUUGGUCACUCCUUCGCCCAGUGCCACGUCUGCAUGUGAAGCGUGCUCAUUUUAUGCUGGGUGUGAUGCAGAGUGUGCACUGCCGGCGCGAGGCGGCGCCGUGGUGGUGACACAUCUGGUGCUGUGUAGAGUACUGUAUGUUGAAACGGUAGAGAGGUUGUACUGUUUUUGUCCCCCACCCUUCUCGAUGUUUGGGGAUCAUUUUAUCAUCAGAGUAUUCUGUGCCCAGUGGUGGGACACACCUAGAAGACACCGCAGUCUUCGUGUUCCUGUGAACAGACCCUGGUCCCCUCCCCUCCACAUUUGUCACAUUGUGGGUUGUACCUUACUCUUUCACUAGCUGCCCAGCAGCCUCUUCCUGGGCCUCCACAGCAGCUGGGAGGGCGCCUUCUGUGUUUGGGCAGUUUCAGUUACUUAGUGAAAGCACGCAGGACAGGCCACAGGUGGUCUUUUCCAGAACUUGAUCUUACCUCUGUCUCUUGCCAGUUCCAUUCAUCCAGAAAGGUGUAUGUUUUUGUAUUAAAAAGUAAAGAGGGAUCAAUGACUAUAAUCCAAAUAAAUAAUGAACCUGCAAGAGCAGUGUACGAUUAGCCUAACCCAGGAAGAGGGGUGGUUUCCUGGGAACUGGGUUGUGAUUGGGAAUUACUCUGGCUAUCUGAUGGUCAUUUCUGGGAUUUGAACAUUUAAUAUGCCCAAUCCUAAAUGUAUAGAUAAUUUAAAAUAUUGAUACCAAGUUUUCCAAAUAGUUGGCAAGUUGUUUAUUUUAUUUCUUCCAGGACCUACUUGUUCAGAUCUCCAAGCAAGCGUUCCUUUUCUUUUAGGGAUAUCUGAAAUUCACAUCUUACUUUUAAAAGGAACCCAAAUAAUUUUAUUGUGUUCUUUCUAAUGAAAAGCAAAGGUUUUAUAUAGAAAACUUCUAAGUAAUUUUUACAUUCCUAGAACAUUUGAUCCCAUUUAAAUUCUGUGCAAACAUUCUUUAAUGUUUAACGACAGCUCGCUUGGAAAAGUGUGGUCAAAGGGAAGAGUUCUGCACUUCCACUAAUCAGUGGCAUGGACAUUCGAUCAGCCUUUACUCGGAUAAUGAUAUUUAUAUUUACUAUGAAUCUUUUUUCAAAAAAUCUUUGGAUAAAUCCUGACAUAUUUCCCAUAACUGCCAAGAAAAUACAAAAAUAUCCAAUACUUGUUAUGUUACACCUGCUGCUGCUGUUUUUCUUUAAUUGAUAAUUUUAUGUUUUAAAAAUGAAAAGUAAUACUUUAUCAGAGUUGAGUGCUUUAGAAUUCUCAAGGCCCUUUUAGGGGUUUUGCUUGAUUUAAUCUUGACAGCCCAUGGGCAAAUUGUGGAGGCAGCUGCUAGUCCCAUUCUACACAUGGAGAACCAAGACUCAGACUUCAGGACUUGCCUGUGCUGAGUACCAGUCCCAUUCUGGGACAUUCUCCCCUCCUGUAAGAUAUCACACAAAAAUGAGGAUAGAAGCAUUUAUUUGGUAGGCAUAAGGGUUUAAAAAAACCCUUAACACUUGGUAAGGGCUUAAAAAAUAUAUGUAUAUAUCUGUGUUACAUUACUGCAAUGAGAGUUCUUAAAUGACAAAAGUACUAGCCAUUUCAUUUAGGGAGUCAUCUCCCUUGAUUUUAUUCUCUUCCUUUUUGACAAUUUUCAUAGAACUAAUUUGCAACUCAAUUGGGGACUAAAAAUUUCCCAUUGAAAAUGUUAAACAUUUUAGAUAACUGUGAAAAUAGUUUAUUUUUAUUCCUUGCCGAUCUGGGAAUAUGCCUUGUGUGUGUGUGUGUUGUUGUUGUUUUUUUAAGUGCUGUAUUAAUACUUUUUUUUUAAGAGGACAUUUUAAAAACUUAUCUCAGAACUUCAGUCUGAAAUGUCUUACAUUAAGAAUAUCUUGAAUGUUGUGUAUAUAUUUUAAAAAGCACUUUGAGAAAUAGUUUGUACAUUUUUUCCUAAUUUAUACAUGAUUUUUGGUGUUAAUAUAUUUAAUGAUUAAUAACAAUGUUUA